rnacentral:rRNA from 1 species
GACGAAUGUUGGCGGCGUGUCUAAGGCAUGCAAGUCGAGGGAUCGGCCCCGCAAGGGGUACGGACCGGCGUAAGGGGCAGUAAUGCAUGGGUACCUACCUUUGGGUUCGGGAUAGCCAUCAGAGAUGGUGGGUAAUACCGGAUGACGUCGUGAGACCAAAGAUUUAUCGCCCUUAGAGGGGCCCAUGUGAUAUUAGCUAGUUGGUGGGGUAACGGCUCACCAAGGCGAAGAUGUCUAGCGGGUGUGAGAGCACGACCCGCGCCACUCGCACUGAGACACUGGCGAGACACCUACGGGUGGCUGCAGUCGAGGAUCUUCGGCAAUGGGCGCAAGCCUGACCGAGCGAUGCCGCGUGAGCGAUGAAGGCCUUCGGGUUGUAAAGCUCUUUAGUGGGGGAGAAAAGCCGAAAGGUGUGAUCUAUCCCAAAAAUAAGCUCGGGCUAAGUUCGUGCCAGCCGCCGCCGUAA